rnacentral:rRNA from 1 species
UGACGUUAGCGGCGGACGGGUGAGUAACACGUGGGUAACCUACCUAUAAGACUGGGAUAACUUCGGGAAACCGGAGCUAAUACCGGAUAAUAUUUCGAACCGCAUGGUUCGAUAGUGAAAGAUGGCCUUGCUAUCACUUAUAGAUGGACCUGCGCCGUAUUAGCUAGUUGGUAAGGUAACGGCUUACCAAGGCAACGAUACGUAGCCGACCUGAGAGGGUGAUCGGCCACACUGGAACUGAGACACGGUCCAGACUCCUACGGGAGGCAGCAGUAGGGAAUCUUCCGCAAUGGGCGAAAGCCUGACGGAGCAACGCCGCGUGAGUGAUGAAGGUCUUCGGAUCGUAAAACUCUGUUAUUAGGGAAGAACAUACGUGUAAGUAACUGUGCACGUCUUGACGGUACCUAAUCAGAAAGCCACGGCUAACUACGUGCCAGCAGCCGCGGUAAUACGUAGGUGGCAAGCGUUAUCCGGAAUUAUUGGGCGUAAAGCGCGCGUAGGCGGUUUUUUAAGUCUGAUGUGAAAGCCCACGGCUCAACCGUGGAGGGUCAUUGGAAACUGGAAAACUUGAGUGCAGAAGAGGAAAGUGGAAUUCCAUGUGUAGCGGUGAAAUGCGCAGAGAUAUGGAGGAACACCAGUGGCGAAGGCGACUUUCUGGUCUGUAACUGACGCUGAUGUGCGAAAGCGUGGGGAUCAAACAGGAUUAGAUACCCUGGUAGUCCACGCCGUAAACGAUGAGUGCUAAGUGUUAGGGGGUUUCCGCCCCUUAGUGCUGCAGCUAACGCAUUAAGCACUCCGCCUGGGGAGUACGACCGCAAGGUUGAAACUCAUAGGAAUUGACGGGGACCCGCAC